UCCUGGGGCUGAAGUAGGUCCCAAGGGUAUGGCUGUUCGCCAUUUAAAGUGGUACGCGAGCUGGGUUUAGAACGUCGUGAGACAGUUCGGUCCCUAUCUGCCGUGGGCGCUGGAGAACUGAGGGGGGCUGCUCCUAGUACGAGAGGACCGGAGUGGACGCAUCACUGGUGUUCGGGUUGUCAUGCCAAUGGCACUGCCCGGUAGCUAAAUGCGGAAGAGAUAAGUGCUGAAAGCAUCUAAGCACGAAACUUGCCCCGAGAUGAGUUCUCCCUGAGACUUAGAGUCUCCUGAAGGAACGUUGAAGACGACGACGUUGAUAGGCCGGGUGUGUAAGCGCAGCGAUGCGUUGAGCUAACCGGUACUAAUGAACCGUGAGGCUUAACCUUAC
rnacentral:rRNA from 1 species